UGGAUUGCAUUUGCCUUAGCAGAUAUGUUUAUACAGAUGAACAUAAAUAGUUCUUUCUCUUUGGGCGUAUUGCUUUUUAUUUUUUCCCUCUCUUCUGACCAAAGAAAAAAGCUACUUCUUCAUUCAGUUGUACGAUUAGUUUUGUUAACUAAACUAAGAUAAAAUUCUAUAUUCUUA